ACUCCUACGGGAGGCAGCAGUGAGGAAUAUUGGACAAUGGGCGAAAGCCUGAUCCAGCAAUACCGCGUGAGUGAAGAAGGCCCUAGGGUUGUAAAGCUCUUUCAGCAGGGAAAAUAAUGAUGGUACCUGCAAAAGAAGUCCCGGCUAACUCCGUGCCAGCAGCCGCGGUAAUACGGAGGGGACUAGCGUUGUUCGGAUUUACUGGGCGUAAAGGGUGCGUAGGCGGUGUAUUAAGUUAGAAGUGAAAGCCUGGGGCUUAACCCCAGCAACAUGCUUCUAAACUAAACUAACGCUAGAGUAUGGGAGAGGAUAGUGGAAUUCCUAGUGUAGAGGUGAAAUUCUUAGAUAUUAGGAGGAACACCGGUGGCGAAAGCGACUAUCUGGAACAUUACUGACGCUGAGGCACGAAAGCGUGGGGAGCAAACAGGAUUAGAUACCCUGGGUAGGUCAGUC
rnacentral:rRNA from 1 species